rnacentral:rRNA from 1 species
AUUGAACGCUGGCGGCAGGCCUAACACAUGCAAGUCGAGCGAGCGGCGGACGGGUGAGUAAUGUCUGGGAAACUGCCUGAUGGAGGGGGAUAACUACUGGAAACGGUAGCUAAUACCGCAUACCAUCAGAUGUGCCCAGAUGGGAUUAGCUAGUCGGUGGGGUAACGGCUCACCUAGGCGACGAGCCCUAGCUGGUCUGAGAGGAUAACCAGCCCCACUGGAACUGUGACACGGUCCAGACGCCUCCUACACUCCCCCUUCUCUAAUAUUGCACAAUGUGCGCAAGCCUGAUACAGCCAUGCCGCGUGUGUGAAGAAUUCCUUCGGGUUUUAAAGCACUUUCAGCUGGGAGGCGUUACCCUCAGAAGAAGCACCGGCUAACUCCGUGCCAGCCGCCGCGGUAAUUC